GAGAGCCCACCAACAAUUAGUGAAUACAUAUGAGGUUUCUGAAACAAAAACAAAAGGCCCAAUCAAGAUCAGAGGAUGUGUAUUUCACAAUGCAAAGAUUAUCAACAUCUAAUAUAAACUACAUCAAAGCAAUAUGAGGAAGCUAAAAGGAUCAUUUAUCAUUGGUGGCAAAAGAAAGCAAGCAGAGGAAGAUUAAUGUUAGUAUUUGAAACGUACCUGUCAUUGUCUCAUAAAAUAUUUUAAAACAGAAUUCUUACUUGCAUUACCAGUAGUUAUUUACGUUGUAGAUAGAUAAUGUUUGAAUGUAUUUUAUAUUUGAGGUAAGCAAAAAAAGAGAAAAAAAAAAAACCUACUGGCAAUUUUAUACUA